rnacentral:rRNA from 1 species
UGUUCAAAGAUAUAAUUUUGAAUAAAAUUUGCUCCAUGAAAUAAAUAGCCGCAGAAUUUUACUGUGCUAAGGUAGCAUAAUCACUUGUUUCUUAAUUAGAAACCAGAAUGAAAGAUUUUACAUUUAAUGCCUUUCUUAAACUAGUUUAUAAAACCUAUAUUAGAUAUUAAAAUAUAUUUAUAAAAAAAAAAGACGACAAGACCCUGUCGAACUUUACCUUUGUUCAGCUGGGGCAGCAAUUUAAACAAAAUUUUAACUAAUUAUAAUCAAACAACACCCAAUAAAAUUGACUAAAUAAGUUACCGUAGGGAUAACAGCGUAAUUUAUUUUUCAAGCUCAAUCUAAAAAUAAGAUUACGACCUCGAUGUUGAAUUAUUUAUCCACUAAGGCGCAAUAGCUAAAAAGGAAAGUCUGUUCGACCUUUAAAUUUUUACA